rnacentral:lncRNA from 1 species
UCCCACUUGAAGGCCUAUUUCAAAUCAACAAAUUAUUAGAGAAGACAUUAUAAAAUGGAUUUAAUGGAUGUGUCGUGUUUUCAAAUGGCAUGAGUUUGGUGCUACAACUGUUUUUUUAUUAACUUGAUUAGAAACAAAAAGGUAUUUAAUGCAUCCCGAAAAAUCUAGUCAAAUCAAUUGUUUACGUACAUAUAUUGAUAUUUAAUUUUCCAAACAUCCACAUAAACAUGGAUCACUAGCACUUUAAAAGGCUUAAUGCUAAGAAAGACAUGAAAUGUGCAUGAAAUGUGAUUCUCCCAAUAUCUGUAUGUAUAGUGCAAACAUAUGUUGUCAUUAGAAAUAAAAUAACUUUCAUAGA